rnacentral:rRNA from 1 species
GGCGGUAUGCCUAAGACAUGCAAGUCGCGCGGUUUAGCAAUAAACAGCGGCGGACGGGUGAGUAACACGUAGCUGACCUGCCCUGUAGUAGGGGAAAACCAGGGGAAACUCUGGCUAAUCCACUAUGUGAACAACUUUUAUGUAAGUUGUUUAAAGCUUCGGCGCUAUAGGAUGGGGCUGCGGUGCAUCAGGUAGUUGGUGGGGUAAAGGCCCACCAAGCCGACGACGCAUAGCUGGUCUGAGAGGACGACCAGCCACAGGGGUACUGAGACACGGACCCCACCUCUACGGAAGGCAGCAGUUAGGAAUCUUCCCCAAUGGGCGAAAGCCUGAGGGAGCGAUACCGCUUGAAGGACGAAGCCCCUCGGGGUGUAAACUUCUGAACUAGGGACGAUAAUGACGGUACCUAGGUAAUAGCACCGGCUAACUCCGUGCCAGCAGCCGCGGUAAUACGGAGGGUGCGAGCGUUACCCGGAUUUACUGGGUGUAAAGGGCGUGUAGGCGGUUAUUCAAGUCCGAUGCUAAAGACUGAGGCUCAACCUCAGGAGUGCGUUGGAUACUGGAUGACUAGACGGUCGGAGAGGGUAGCGGAAUUUCCUGAGUAGCGGUGAAAUGCGCAGAUACAGGAAGGAACGCCAAUAGCGAAAGCAGCUACCUGGACGAUUUGUGACGCUGAGGCGCGAAAGCGUGGG